ACAAAUCCAAAGCUUGAAUUAGGGAUGUAAAGUGCCUUCACACAAAUUGAACUCAAACGACAUUUCCUGUGUUAAUGUUCUAGUUCAUCAUUUCACCACGUGAAAUAUCAUGAAUUAAUUGUGCAAUUUGUUUAAACGGAGAAUCACAGAAAAUUCCCUUAAACUUGUAUUUCCUAUCUCCCUGUCAUUUUGAAAAUCUCCAUUGUUGUACAUGCCAAAAAUAAUUACAUUUGGAGAAAGAGUAAGAAAAAAAUGAAAUUCCCAAGUUCCACUCAUAACUGAAAACUAUUUCUUCAAAAUUCUCAGAGAAACCCCAAAGUUGGUGCUACUUGUAAUCGAGAACCAUUUACAUUUAUAUUCAAUACGACACAAAAAGGGGGAAAAUCAUAACCCAAGCAACGCUAAAGAAACUUAAUAUACUAUUUAAACACCUUCGCAAUCACAUAUACAGGGAAACACCUAUCGGAGGGUUAUGAAAUUAAGGAGAAUUUGAGUGACGAGUUCCUGUAGCUAUGUUUUGGGCUAGGCUUCUUUCUUGAUGGCCAUUAUCUUGCCCACGAUUUCCUUAAUCAUAGACUUACUCUCCACCUUCGCCAUGCCCAUCUCGUUCUCCAACACUAUUUCGCCAGGUUCUGCCAUCGUCACUUCCACUUCAAAUGCGAUCCGCGUUGUUUAUCUUUCUCCAGGAUUUGUGGUUGAAGAGAAAAUUUCUAGGUUGAAAAGCGUGGGGAGAGAUUUUCCAAAGUGAAUGGAUGAAUAGA
rnacentral:lncRNA from 1 species